rnacentral:rRNA from 1 species
AGAGUUUGAUCCUGGCUCAGAAUGAACGUUGGCGGCAUGGAUUAGGCAUGCAAGUCGAGCGAGAAGUCUUUUUUGCUUGCAUUAAAGACGGACAGCGGCGCAAGGGAGAGUAACGCGUAGAAACGUACCCCAAAGUCCGGGAUAACGGCGGGAAACUGCCGGUAAUACCGGAUAAUAUCUCAGGAUUAAAGUUUUUCGCUUUGGGAGCGGUCUGCGUACUAUUAGGUAGUUGGUGGGGUAAAGGCCUACCAAGCCACAGAUGGUUAGCGGGCGUGAGAGCGUGGCCCGUCUCACUAGGACUGAGACACUGCCCAGACACCUACGGGUGGCUGCAGUCGAGAAUCUUCCGCAAUGGGCGAAAGCCUGACGGAGCAAUGCCGCGUGCGGGAUGAAGGCCCUCGGGUUGUAAACCGCUGUCAGUAGGGAGGAAAUUUUGACCGAUCUACAGAGGAAGUCCGGGCUAAGUACGUGCCAGCAGCCGCGGUAAU